rnacentral:rRNA from 1 species
UACGAAGGGGGCAAGCGUUGUUCGGAAUUACUGGGCGUAAAGGGCGCGUAGGCGGCCGAUCAAGUCAGGCGUGAAAUUCCCGGGCUCAACCUGGGGGCUGCGCUUGAUACUGCUUGGCUUGAAUGCGGGAGAGGAUAGUGGAAUUCCCAGUGUAGAGGUGAAAUUCGUAGAUAUUGGGAAGAACACCGGUGGCGAAGGCGGCUAUCUGGCCCGUAAUUGACGCUGAGGCGCGAAAGCGUGGGGAGCAAACAGG